ACUGCGAGUGAAGCGGGAAGAGCUCAAAUUUAAAAUCUGGCGGUCUUCUGGCUGUCCGAGUUGUAAUCUGGAGAAGCGUUUUCCGCGUUGGACCGUGCACAAGUCCCUUGGAACAGGGCGUCAUAGAGGGUGAGAAUCCCGUCCAUGGCACGGACAACCAAUGCUUUGUGAUACGCUCUCGAAGAGUCGAGUUGUUUGGGAAUGCAGCUCAAAAUGGGUGGUAAAUUCCAUCUAAAGCUAAAUAUUGGCGAGAGACCGAUAGCGAACAAGUACCGUGAGGGAAAGAUGAAAAGCACUUUGGAAAGAGAGUUAAACAGUACGUGAAAUUGUUGAAAGGGAAACGCUUGAAGUCAGUCGCAUCUUACGGGACUCAGCCUUGCCUUCGGGCUUGGUGUAUUUCCUGUGGGAUGGGUCAACAUCAAUUUUGACCGGUAGAAAAGGGUGGGGGGAAUGUGGCGCCUUUCGGGGCGUGUUAUAGCCCCCUAUCGCAUGUACCGGUUGGGAUUGAGGACCGCAGCGCGCCUUUUUGGCCGGGGGUUCGCCCCACGUACCGCGCUUAGGAUGUUGGCAUAAUGGCUUUAAGCGACCCGUCUUGAAACACGGACCAAGGAGUCUAACAUGCUUGCGAGUGUUCGGGUGGAAAACCCUUGCGCGUAAUGAAAGUAAAAGUUGGGAACCUCCGCAAGGGGGUGCACCGACGCCCGGCCCAGACGUUCUCUGACGGUGCUGCGGUAGAGCAAGUACGUUGGGACCCGAAAGAUGGUGAACUAUGCCUGAAUAGGGCGAAGCCAGAGGAAACUCUGGUGGAGGCUCGUAGCGAUUCUGACGUGCAAAUCGAUCGUCAAAUUUGGG
rnacentral:rRNA from 1 species